rnacentral:rRNA from 1 species
UACAGGGGGUGCAAACGUUGCUCGGAAUUAUUGGGCGUAAAGCGCGCGUAGGCGGCCACUUAAGUCGGAUGUGAAAGCCCCUGGCUCAACUGGGGAAGUGCACCCGAAACUGAAUGGCUUGAGUGCGAAAGAGGGUCGCGGAAUUCCCGGUGUAGAGGUGAAAUUCGUAGAUAUCUGCAGGAACACCCGUGGCGAAAGCGGCGCGCUGGACCACUACUGACGCUGAGGAACGAAAGCUAGGGGAGCAAACAGG